rnacentral:rRNA from 1 species
CCUACGGGGGGCAGCAGUGGGGAAUAUUGCACAAUGGGCGCAAGCCUGAUGCAGCCAUGCCGCGUGUGUGAAGAAGGCCUUCGGGUUGUAAAGCACUUUCAGCGGGGAGGAAGGCGUUAAGGUUAAUAACCUUGUCGAUUGACGUUACCCGCAGGAGAAGCACCGGCUAACUCCGUGCCAGCAGCCGCGGUAAUACGGAGGGUGCAAGCGUUAAUCGGAAUUACUGGGCGUAAAGCGCACGCAGGCGGUCUGUCAAGUCGGAUGUGAAAUCCCCGGGCUCAACCUGGGAACUGCAUUCGAAACUGGCAGGCUAGAGUCUUGUAGAGGGGGGUAGAAUUCCAGGUGCAGCGGUGAAAUGCGUAGAGAUCUGGAGGAAUACCGGUGGCGAAGGCGGCCCCCUGGACAAAGACUGACGCUCAGGUGCGAAAGCGUGGGGAGCAAACAGGAUUAGAUACCCCGGUAGUC